rnacentral:misc_RNA from 1 species
UCCAGCUUAUCGCUGGCGGUCUCCUGCGAGUUCCCAACUGAAUGAUGGCAACACAGGACGAGGGUUGCGCUCGUUGCGGGACUUAACCCAACAUCUCACGACACGAGCUGACGACAGCCAUGCAGCACCUCGACUGGACCCCCUUGCGGAGUAACCGUGUUUCCACGAUCGUUGACCAGCCGUUCGAGCCCAGGUAAGGUUCUUCGCGUUGCGUCGAAUUGAACCACAUGCUCCACCGCUUGUGCGGGUCCCCGUCAAUUCAUUUGAGUUUCAACCUUGCGGCCGUAGUCCCCAGGCGGGAUACUUAACGCGUUAGCUACGGUCACGAGAGGGGUCGAUACCUCUCACACCAAGUAUCCAUCGUUUAGGGCUAGGACUAC